UACGAAGGGGGCUAGCGUUGCUCGGAAUCACUGGGCGUAAAGGGUGCGUAGGCGGGUCUUUUAAGUCAGGGGUGAAAUCCUGGAGCUCAACCUCCAGAACUGCCUUUGAUACUGAAGAUCUUGAGUUCGGGAGAGGUGAGUGGAACUGCGAGUGUAGAGGUGAAAUUCGUAGAUAUUGGGAGGAACACCAGUGGCGAAGGGCGGCUCACUGGACCGGUUCUGACGCUGAGGCGCGAAAGCGUGGGGAGCAAACGGGG
rnacentral:rRNA from 1 species